rnacentral:rRNA from 1 species
CAGCCGCCACGGUAAGAAAGAGGAUGCAAGCGUUGUCCGGAAUGAUUGGGCGUAAAGCGUCUGUAGGUGGCGGCCAAAGUCAGGCGUGAAAUUCCCGGGCUCAACCUGGGGGCUGCGUUUGAUACUUGGUUGCUUGAGUGGGGAAGAGGGUCGUGGAAUUCCCGGUGUAGAGGUGAAAUUCGUAGAUAUUGGGAAGAACACCGGUGGCGAAGGCGGCGACCUGGUCCUUUACUGACGCUGAGGCGCGAAAGCGUGGGGAGCAAACAGGAUUAGAUACCCCCGUAGUCCCUGUCUCUUAUAC